rnacentral:rRNA from 1 species
UACGAAGGGGGCUAGCGUUGCUCGGAAUCACUGGGCGUAAAGGGCGCGUAGGCGGCGCGGAUAGUCGGCGGUGAAAGCCCGGAGCUCAACUCCGGGUCGGCCGUCGAUACUUCCGGGGCUUGAGCACUGUAGAGGCAGAUGGAAUUCCGGGUGUAGCGGUGGAAUGCGUAGAGAUCCGGAAGAACACCGGUGGCGAAGGCGGCCUGCUGGGCAGUUUUGCUGGACACUGAGGCGCGACAGCGUGGGGAGCAAACAGGG